rnacentral:rRNA from 1 species
UACGUAGGGUGCGAGCGUUUGUCCGGAAUUAUUGGGCGUAAAAGGGCUCGUAGGCGGUUUGUCGCGUCGGGAGUGAAAACUCAGGGCUUAACCCUGAGCCUGCUUCCGAUACGGGCAGACUAGAGGUAUGCAGGGGAGAACGGAAUUCCUGGUGUAGCGGUGAAAUGCGCAGAUAUCAGGAGGAACACCGGUGGCGAAGGCGGUUCUCUGGGCAUUACCUGACGCUGAGGAGCGAAAGUGUGGGGAGCGAACAGG